rnacentral:rRNA from 1 species
UACAGAGGUCUCAAGCGUUGUUCGGAUUCAUUGGGCGUAAAGAGCGUGUAGGCGGCCACACAGGUCAGCUGUGAAAACUCGAGGCUCAACCUCGAGACGUCGGUUGAAACCGUAUGGCUAGAGUCCGGAAGAGGAGAGUGGAAUUCCCGGUGUAGCGGUGAAAUGCGCAGAUAUCGGGAAGAACACCCGUGGCGAAGGCGGCUCUCUGGAACGCAACUGACGCUGAGACGCGAAAGCGUGGGGAGCAAACAGG